rnacentral:rRNA from 1 species
UACGAAGGUCCCAAGCGUUGUUCGGAAUCACUGGGCGUAAAGGGAGCGUAGGCGGCGUGGUAAGUCAGAUGUGAAAUCCCGGGGCUCAACCCCGGAACUGCAUCCGAUACUGCCAUGCUAGAGGAUUGGAGAGGUAGCUGGAAUUCUUGGUGUAGCAGUGAAAUGCGUAGAGAUCGUAAGGAAGGCCGGUGGCGAAAGCGAGCCUCUGGACAGUUACUGACGCUGAUGCACGAAGGCCAGGGGAGCAAACGGG